rnacentral:rRNA from 1 species
UACGUAGGUGGCAAGCGUUGUCCGGAUUUACUGGGCGUAAAGAGCGCGCAGGCGGUCGUGCAAGUCGCGUGUGAAAGCCCCCGGCUCAACUGGGGAGGGGCACGCGAUACUGAUCGACUCGAAGGCAGGAGAGGGUAGUGGAAUUCCCGGUGUAGUGGUGAAAUGCGUAGAUAUCGGGAGGAACACCAGUGGCGAAGGCGACUACCUGGCCUGUUCUUGACGCUGAGGCGCGAAAGCUAGGGGAGCAAACGGG